rnacentral:rRNA from 1 species
AAUAGAUACCCGGGUAGUCCACGCCGUAAACGAUGAGUGCUAAGUGUUAGAGGGUUUCCGCCCUUUAGUGCUGCAGCUAACACAUUAAGCACUCCGCCUGGGGAGUACGGUCGCAAGACUGAAACUCAAAGGAAUUGACGGGGGCCCGCACAAGCGGUGGAGCAUGUGGUUUAAUUCGAAGCAACGCGAAGAACCUUACCAGGUCUUGACAUCCUCUGACAACUCUAGAGAUAGAGCGUUCCCCUUCGGGGGACAGAGUGACAGGUGGUGCAUGGUUGUCGUCAGCUCGUGUCGUGAGAUGUUGGGUUAAGUCCCGCAACGAGCGCAACCCUUGAUCUUAGUUGCCAGCAUUUAGUUGGGCACUCUAAGGUGACUGCCGGUGACAAACCGGAGGAAGGUGGGGAUGACGUCAAAUCAUCAUGCCCCUUAUGACCUGGGCUACACACGUGCUACAAUGGAUGGUACAAAGGGCUGCAAGACCGCGAGGUCAAGCCAAUCCCAUAAAACCCAUUCUCAGUUCGGAUUGUAGG